rnacentral:rRNA from 1 species
UAGUAACUGCGAGUGAAGCGGGAAAAGCUCAAAUUUAAAAUCUGGCAGCUUUGGCUGUCCGAGUUGUAGUCUGGAGAAGCGUCUUCCGCGCUGGACCGUGUACAAGUCUCUUGGAACAGAGCGUCAUAGAGGGUGAGAAUCCCGUCCAUGACACGGACUACCAGUGCUUUGUGAUGCGCUCUCAAAGAGUCGAGUUGUUUGGGAAUGCAGCUCAAAAUGGGUGGUAAAUUCCAUCUAAAGCUAAAUAUUGGCGAGAGACCGAUAGCGAACAAGUACCGUGAGGGAAAGAUGAAAAGCACUUUGGAAAGAGAGUUAAACAGUACGUGAAAUUGCUGAAAGGGAACCGCUUGAAGUCAGUCGCGUCUUGCAGAACUCAACCUGGCAUUUGCUUGGUGCACUUUCUGUAUGACGGGCCAACAUCAGUUUUGACUGCUGGAAAAAUUCCUUAGGAAUGUGGCACCUACGGGUGUGUUAUAGCCUUUGGUUGUAUACAGUGGUUGGGACUGAGGACCGCAGCACGCCUUAUGGCCGGGGUUCGCCCACGUACGUGCUUAGGAUGUUGGCGUAAUGGCUUUAAGCGACCCGUCUUGAAACACGGACCAAGGAGUCUAACAUGCCUGCGAGUGUUUGGGUGGUAAACCCGAGCGCGUAAUGAAAGUGAAAGUUGGGAUCCCUGUCGUGGGGAGCACCGACGCCCAUACCAGACCUUCUGUGACGGCUAUGCGGUUGAGCAUGUAUGUUGGGACCCGAAAGAUGGUGAACUAUGCCUGAAUAGGGUGAAGCCAGAGGAAACUCUGGUGGAGGCUCGUAGCGAUUCUGACGUGCAAAUCGAUCGUCAAAUUUGGGUAUAGGGGCGAAAGACUAAUCGAACCAUCUAGUAGCU